rnacentral:rRNA from 1 species
AUGAUUGGGAAGACCAAUAGGUAUUUUAAUCCUGAUUGGUAUGAGGAGUAUGGUGGUACUUGGCUAGAGUACAGUGAGGCAAAUGACAAUGCAUAUUGCUUGUGUUGCUAUUUAUUCAGGGACAACACCAAAGGUAACAAACCUGGGCAUGAUGCAUUUGUAGUAGAUGCCUUUCAUAAUUGGAAGAAGCCAGAAAGAUUUGUGACUCAUGUAGGUGAUCGCAAUAGUUUCCACGAUAAAGCACUAAAAAACUGUGAGGAUCUAGAGAACAUAGAUCAAUCAAUCCCGGUAGCCUUACACAAGCAAAGCCCAAUUGAGAAAACUGAGCAUCUUUUUUGGGUCAAUGUUGCAAUUUAUGUAUGUCGAUACUUGUUGCAUCAGGGACAACCAUUCCGUGGUCAUGAUGAAUCAAAAGAGUCGUAUACUAUUAGUCAGAAAGAAAUUGUAGCCAAGGCAUUCAAAAACGCCCCACAAAAUAAUCAAAUGUUGUCUCCAAAAAUCCAGAAAAGUAUUACUGAAUGCUUUGCAGAAGAAAUCUUGUCAUGUAUUUUGCAAGAAAUUAGCAGGGAUGUGUUCAGCUUAUUGGUUGAUGAGUGUCGUGAUAUUUCUGACAAAGAGCAGAUGGCAUUGGUUCUACGAUACGUGAGUGGUGGGCUGUCAUAUGAGAGGUUUGUAGGUGUUGUUCACAUUGAGCAGACUACAGCUACUUUUCUCAAGUCCAAAAUUGAUUUUAUCAUUGCAAAGUUUGGUUUGAGUUUAAAACAAGUGAGAGGACAAGGGUAUGACGGUGCAAGCAACAUGGCAGGUGAGUUCAAUGGUUUGCAAGAAAAAAUUAUGAGAGAUAAUAGUUCAGCUUAUUUUGUACAUUGUUUUGCGCACAAACUUGACUUGGUUGUUGUGGCCAUUGCAAAGAAAAUUACUAAUGUUGGAGAUUUCUUUGAUAUGAUAUCACUUAUGGUGACUGUUGAUGGAUCAUCUUGCAAGAGAAAGGAUAAACUUAGAGUGGAUCAUCAAGAAGAAGUGAGGAAAGCAAUUGGUAAGGGUGAGAUUGCUACAGGAACUAGACUAAAUCAAGAGCUUUCUCUUCAAAGGCCAGGAGAUACUAGAUGGAACUCUCACUAUAGAACUUUGGUAGGUUUGCCAAAGAUGUUUCCAUCGGUGGUUAAAGUGCUAGAAUAUGUUAAGGAAGAUGGUACUGAUCCUAUUAAGAAACGUCAAGCCAGUGGGAUUCUAAAAUAUUUUCAAUCAUUUGAUUUUGUAUUCUAUCUACACAUGAUGAUGAUUAUAUUUGCUUUAACAAAUGGGCUAUCUAAAACAUUUCAGAGAAAGGAUAUGGACAUUGUUAAUGCCAUAUCAGAUGUGGAAUCUACUAAGAGAGAGCUACUAAAGCUUAGAUCUGAGCAUGGUUGGAAUGUUCUUCUAGACAAGGUACGUUCUUUUUGUGAGAAGAAUGACAUUUUAGUGAUGGACAUGGAAAAUGAUUACGUGAAUCCAAAGAAGAUAAGGCAAAGGACAUGCAUUAACAAUGAGCAUCAUUAUCGAAUUGAUUGUUUCUUUGCUGUCCUAGAUAUGUUGGUAGAAGAGUUAAAUGGCAGAUUCAAUGUUAUCAAUUCUGAGUUACUUUGUUGUAUGUCAGCUUUGAGUCCAAGUGAUCAGUUUGGUCACUAUAAUGUUGAGAAGUUGAAGAAAUUGGCUUAG